CACGGCUGGAGGAACAAAGAUACACAGAGGGGAAAAGAGACACAUGGAAGGACAAAGACAUACAUCACUGUUUUAUUCAGGGGCACUUAUGCCCCGAGUAAGGGACCUAGCAACUUGGUCUUCUAUCUGUUAACAAAUAGAUUGUAUUAUUUUAACUCAAUCUUUAUGAAAAAUAUCCCUUAUUUAAAAAGAAAUGUUUACCCUAAUCUAAUGUCCACUCCUCAUUGAGUGUUGUAUCUCAUGUAUGUGUAUAUGUCUUUACCACCCACCUAUCAUAUGUGUGAGCGCCCAUUCCUUGCGGCCUGCCUGGGAGUAUGCCUUGCUUCUCCCAUCUGCAGGUCAAUCCACUUUGUGCAAUAUGCAUGUGCUCUAUGUAUCACCAAACCUGUCCAAUAAAAUUCUCGCAGGGGGACUCAGAAUAGGAGUAUACCUCCCUUGAGAAGCUCAAUAAUCAUACUUUUUGUUAAAGUAAGUAUUUUAAAAAUGAAUUUUUUUU